AAGGAUCAUUAAAGUAUUUUUGGGUUCUUUUUGAGCCUAACUAUCUGACAUUGUGGUAUUAAUGAAAAAAAAUGAUUGGGUUUAAAGAUGAUGCCUCUGAGUCUUUAGGAGGUAUCGACCCAAACUUUUUAUCAACUCUUUUUUACUAUUUGACUGAAUAUCAAGUAAAUUAAUCCAAUCUUUGGGUUAAAAAAAAGUUUUAAAUAACUUUCAACAACGGAUCUCUUGGUUCUCGCAUCGAUGAAGAACGCAGCGAAAUGCGAUACGUAAUGUGAAUUGCAGAUUGUGAAUCAUCGAAUCUUUGAACGCAUAUUGCACUCUUUGGUAUUCCGAGGAGUAUGCUUGUUUCAGUAUCAUGAAAAUCUCACAAAUGAACCAUUUUUUUUGUUUCAGCUUGUGGACUUGGAUUUGCGAUCGUAAAAGAUUGCUAAUCUGAAAUGAAUUUCAUGAAGCUUAACAUGCUUUGAAUCUUUGCUUAAUAGUUUUGCUUUGUCAAAUCUUUUGCAAUGGAUUUAAAAGCCAAAAAGUGAAUUGAUUUUACGAAAUCGUUUACCUCAUUUUUUGAUCUGAAAUCAAGUAGGAUUACCCGCUGAACUUAC
rnacentral:misc_RNA from 1 species